rnacentral:rRNA from 1 species
GACUCUCGGCAACGGAUAUCUCGGCUCUUGCAUCGAUGAAGAACGUAGCGAAAUGCGAUACUUGGUGUGAAUUGCAGAAUCCCGUGAACCAUCGAGUUUUUGAACGCAAGUUGCGCCCGAUACCAUUAGGUUGAGGGCACGUCUGCCUGGGCGUCACACA